AGGAUGAAGGCCCUCUGGGUUGUAAACUUCUUUUAUUGGGGAAGAAAUCGGACUUUCUAAGGCCGUUGACGGUACCCGAUGAAUAAGCACCGGCUAACUCCGUGC
rnacentral:rRNA from 1 species